GUACACGCUGUGACUAGCAUAUCAAUAAGCGGAGGAAAAAGAAACUAACAAGGAUUCCCCUAGUAACGGCGAGUGAGGCGGGAAGAGCUCAAAUUUGAAAUCUUAAAGGGUUUCCCUUUACGAAUUGUAGUUUAAAGAAGUGUUUUCUGUUGAGGUUUUGGUAAAAGUUCUUUGGAAUAGGACAUCAUAGAGGGUGAGAAUCCCGUAUUUGACCUUUACUUUCAACUUUGUGAUACACUUUCAAAGAGUCGGAUUGUUUGGGAAUGCAGUCCAAAAUGGGUGGUAAAUUCCAUCUAAAGCUAAAUAUUGGCGAGAGACCGAUAGCGAACAAGUACCGUGAGGGAAAGAUGAAAAGAACUUUGAAAAGAGAGUUAAACAGUACGUGAAAUUGUCAAAGGGGAAGCGUUUGACACCAGUGUUGUUUUUCUGAAAAUCAAUUAAAGAACUGUUUAUGCUAAGUUGUUUAGACUUUAUCAGCUAACUGUUUAGUUUUGAGCUUUUCUUUAAUGCACUUUUCAGUUAACAAGUCAACAUCAAUUUCUUUUGCUGUAAAAAAGCUUGAGGAAGGUGGCUUGAGAUUCGUCUUAAGUGUUUAUAGCCUCUUGCCUAUGCAGUCGGAGAGAUUGAGGUCUGCAGCGUAGAUCCUUCGGGGCUAAAUGCAUUUGUGCUAAGUUAUAGCAUUUUAUAGACAACUUGUUGACUAUGAUUUGUCUUGUAGCUUACUCGCUUAUGUUAUUUUACCUACGCUUAGGAUGUUGACUGAUAUGUAGUCGUA
rnacentral:rRNA from 1 species